rnacentral:rRNA from 1 species
CGCUGGCGGCGUGCCUAAUACAUGCAAGUCGAGCGAACGGACGAGAAGCUUGCUUCUCUGAUGUUAGCGGCGGACGGGUGAGUAACACGUGGAUAACCUACCUAUAAGACUGGGAUAACUUCGGGAAACCGGAGCUAAUACCGGAUAAUAUUUUGAACCGCAUGGUUCAAAAGUGAAAGACGGUCUUGCUGUCACUUAUAGAUGGAUCCGCGCUGCAUUAGCUAGUUGGUAAGGUAACGGCUUACCAAGGCAACGAUGCAUAGCCGACCUGAGAGGGUGAUCGGCCACACUGGAACUGAGACACGGUCCAGACUCCUACGGGAGGCAGCAGUAGGGAAUCUUCCGCAAUGGGCGAAAGCCUGACGGAGCAACGCCGCGUGAGUGAUGAAGGUCUUCGGAUCGUAAAACUCUGUUAUUAGGGAAGAACAUAUGUGUAAGUAACUGUGCACAUCUUGACGGUACCUAAUCAGAAAGCCACGGCUAACUACGUGCCAGCAGCCGCGGUAAUACGUAGGUGGCAAGCGUUAUCCGGAAUUAUUGGGCGUAAAGCGCGCGUAGGCGGUUUUUUAAGUCUGAUGUGAAAGCCCACGGCUCAACCGUGGAGGGUCAUUGGAAACUGGAAAACUUGAGUGCAGAAGAGGAAAGUGGAAUUCCAUGUGUAGCGGUGAAAUGCGCAGAGAUAUGGAGGAACACCAGUGGCGAAGGCGACUUUCUGGUCUGUAACUGGCGCUGAUGUGCGAAAGCGUGGGGAUCAAACAGGAUUAGAUACCCUGGUAGUCC